GAACGCUGGCGGCAUGCCUAACACAUGCAAGUCGAACGGAGGUAGGGGCAACUCUACUUCAGUGGCGGACGGGUGAGGAAUGCAUCGGAAUCUACCCUAGGGUGGGGGAUAACACAGGGAAACUUGUGCUAAUACCGCAUGAUGUCGAGAGACCAAAGCGGGGGACCGAAAGGCCUCGCGCGCUAGGAUGAGCCGAUGCCCGAUUAGCUAGUUGGUAGGGUAAUGGCCUACCAAGGCGACGAUCGGUAGCUGGUCUGAGAGGAUGAUCAGCCACACUGGGACUGAGACACGGCCCAGACACCUACGGGAGGCAGCAGUGGGGAAUAUUGGGCAAUGGGCGAAAGCCUGAUCCAGCAAUGCCGCGUGUGUGAAGAAGGCCUGCGGGUUGUAAAGCACUUUUGUUCGGGAAGAAAACGCGCUGACUAAUACUUAGCGUGGAUGACGGUACCGAAAGAAUAAGCACCGGCUAACUUCGUGCCAGCAGCCGCGGUAAUACGAAGGGUGCAAGCGUUAAUCGGAAUUACUGGGCGUAAAGGGUGCGUAGGCGGCUCUUUAAGUCGGAUGUGAAAUCCCCGGGCUCAACCUGGGAAUGGCAUCCGAUACUGGGGAGCUGGAGUUUGGGAGAGGGUGGUGGAAUUCCCGGUGUAGCGGUGAAAUGCGUAGAGAUCGGGAGGAACAUCAGUGGCGAAGGCGGCCACCUGGCCUAAAACUGACGCUGAAGCACGAAAGCGUGGGGAGCAAACAGGAUUAGAUACCCUGGUAGUCCACGCCCUAAACG
rnacentral:rRNA from 1 species